AAAAAAAAAAAAAAUCACAUCUGGUUUCAUGAUUUUAGUGCAUGAUUCUUGGCCGGAUUUGUGCUAUCUGGGCAAGAAUAAAAUUAAUCUUUCACCAUUGAUAACAUGGAAUAAAGGGACUCGCGUGCUGAGUUUAGUUACCCAAUUCUCAGUACUUGGGUGCAUGGAAAGUCCAUUUCUGGAUUCCAACCAAAUAUGUAAUUUCACUUGAGCUAUUUUAUAAGGAGAGGCAACUUUACGUUCUAAUGAAAUUAGGAUUCAGUUUUGGAGUUACCUUUACUCCAAUAACGAAU
rnacentral:misc_RNA from 1 species